rnacentral:rRNA from 1 species
UGGGGAAUAUUGCACAAUGGGGGAAACCCUGAUGCAGCGACGCCGCGUGAGCGAUGAAGGCUUUCGAGUCGUAAAGCUCUGUUAAUCGGGACGAAUGGUUUGUGUGCAAAUAGUGCAUAGACAUGACGGUACCGGAAUAGAAAGCCACGGCUAACUACGUGCCAGCAGCCGCGGUAAUACGUAGGUGGCAAGCGUUGUCCGGAAUUAUUGGGCGUAAAGCGCGCGCAGGCGGACUAGCCAGUCAGUCUUAAAAGUUCGGGGCUUAACCCCGUGAUGGGAUUGAAACUACUAGUCUAGAGUAUCGGAGAGGAAAGUGGAAUUCCUAGUGUAGCGGUGAAAUGCGUAGAUAUUAGGAAGAACACCAGUGGCGAAGGCGACUUUCUGGACGAACACUGACGCUGAGGCGCGAAAGCCAGGGGAGCGAACGGG